rnacentral:rRNA from 1 species
UAGAGCCUACCAUGGUGGUAACGGGUAACGGGGUGUUAGGGCACGACACCGGAGAGGGAGCCUGAGAAACGGCUACCACAUCCAAGGAUGGCAGCAGGCGCGCAAAUUACCCAAUCCCGACACGGGGAGGUAGUGACAAUAAAUAACAAUACGGGGUUCUUUAGGAUCUCGUAAUUGGAAUGAGUACAAUUUAAAUCUCUUAAUGAGGAACAAUUGGAGGGCAAGUCUGGUGCCAGCAGCCGCGGUAAUUCCAGCUCCAAUAGCGUAUAUUAAAGUUGUUGCAGUUAAAAAGCUCGUAGUUGAAUUUCGGGGUUAGUAGGUUGGUCAUGCCUCCGGUAUGUACUGGUCUCACUGAUUCCUCCUUCCUGAUGAACCUUAAUGCCAUUAAUUUGGUGUUUUGGGGAAUUUGGACUGUUACUUUGAAAAAAUUAGAGUGUUUAAAGCAAGCUAACGCUUGAAUACAUUAGCAUGGAAUAAUGAAAUAGGACGUUCGAUCCUAUUUUGUUGGUUUCUAGGAUUGACGUAAUGAUUAAUAGGGAUAGUUGGGGGCAUUAGUAUUCAAUUGUCAGAGGUGAAAUUCUUGGAUUUAUUGAAGACUAACUACUGCGAAAGCAUUUGCCAAGGAUGUUUUCAUUAAUCAAGAACGAAAGUCAGGGGAUCGAAGACGAUCAGAUACCGUCGUAGUCUUAACCAUAAACUAUGCCGACUAGGGAUCGGAUGAUGUUAAUUUUUUAAUGACUCAUUCGGCGCCUUACGGGAAACC